UAGCCGGGCUGCUCCGGAGCCCCUGCCCGCAGUCCGGCUGCUGCCACAUGCUUGCGCUGUGCCCGGCGCUUCGGGGCUGCUCACCGGGGAACCUCGCUCCCGCAGCUUCGCAAAACGCCCGUCAGGAUUUUAGCAAAAUGAAAAGAUUGCCAGUGCUACAAAAAUAG
rnacentral:lncRNA from 1 species